UAGAUAUCCGUCCCUAUGACAUUAGCUAGGAUACUGCAGCGUGGGCUAGAGGUCAGAAAAAGUAACUGAAAUCCAGGUAAUUGGAUCACCUCAUACUUACAACUGAACCCUGAAGACCACCGUGACCAGCUCCACUCCAAGUCCUACAGCAAGACCCAAGUCAAGCCCCAGUAAUAUAGAAGCCAAACAUGUACCCACCCAAACAAUCUGAAGAACAUUAAACACUCAAAAGAGAGACAGACAGAGAGUCAAUGGUUCGUACACAGUCGGGCCGAUCUUUCUUCCACAGGCCCUCGAAGCCGGUGAUGUUGAGUGGUGGACCUUCAUCUGGCACCAGUCUGGUCACUACGGCCCCCACCAUGAGACUCAACACAGGGAAAGCUCCUGGUGAAAACAAACUUUUGCAUGUUCUUCUUCAAAGCCGUCCUCCGAGUACAGCGGUCUGGUCACCACAUACUUCUGCAAUGAGGGUCGGAGCAUUGUGCACCAACACAGCUGCUGGAAGAAGUCCUUCUGAUCUAUGUGUGAUAAACACCUGGCAGAAGACCCAUACUCACACACUAUCGCUGGCUUCCUCUCUCCGAUAAACAAUCACCCCAUCAGUUUUCAGUUGGCAAAUCUUUUGGCACUGCGGAUAUAUGGACCAUAGUAUUUGCUCAGAUCAUUGAUUUCUCAAGUCUAAAGGGAACCUGGGGGUGAUGUUUGACGAUCGGCUGAAAUUCACCUCUCACAUCCUAGCAACCACUCGAACUUUCAAGUAUGUGCUCUACAAUAUCAGGAAAAUCACGCCGUUCCUGUCGGCGCAUGCCUCUUAG